UAGGCAAGUGCUCUACCACUGAGCCACAAUCCCAGUCCCCUAAUUUUCAUAUUUUAUUGGAAUCACUCAUUUAAUAAGUUCACCUGGUAGAGAAUGUUGAGCUUUCAUUUUGUUCUUUUUCUUGGUCUUUUUUUAUUUUCAAUUACCUGAAAUCAGGCCUAAAGCUGUGCUAUGGAUAUUGAUUUUAAAAGCAGAAUAUUAAUGUGGUUAUUGUUUGAUUCAAUAUAGGUAUUUACAUAUUAUUAUUCAUGAACUUGGACUCUGGGCAGUCAUCUUUUGUCACUAACAUAAACUUUGAUUUUCCUUUCUUGCUCAUAGAGGGUGACUUUAACUGAUCAUUGUACUAAUAGGAAGAAGUCCAGGUCGUCCUGAGAAGAGUUGGCUUAUACAGAGUUCAAGAUGCACAUUUGUUGGAUUUCUGUAAGCCAUUUGAUGCCACAUAUUCAUUUCUGAUGACAACUUUACACUUGUGCUGGCAGAACACCCACAGUGACAACUGCUGUCUAUGUUUAGUCUGUCCAAGACCUCAACCAGCUAGUAUGUUUGUGGAAAAACCUACACUGUUCUUGUUAGCAGCUAUGUAAAUAUUAGACCUCUCUCUGAGUUUAUCUUCUCAGGUCUGCCAAUUUAUUUUUUGGCAGUUUAGAUCCUGUGAUUGCCUCAAUUUACCCUUUGAAAUGAGGGAUUAAAGGUUUUAGUUAUCCUUUGGGUUAAGUGAAGCACAAUUCUUUUUGAAUCGGUACACGGUUUUAUAUAUGUCCAGUUUAUGAUGGAUGUGUGUGUUGGGGAAUGAACCAGCGCUUUGAGUACAUGCUCUUACUUCCGAGUUACACUUCAGGUUCCUAGCCCCAAUUUAUGGUGGUGCCUCCCCCCCACACACCGCCCCGCCGCCCCAGUUCCUCACACAUGUUGGCAAGCAUUCUCCCACUAAACUGCAUGCAUAGCCUCCUGGUUUGUGAUUUCAAAAAUUUUACUUCCACCGUUUAUUUGCUUCCUGUGGUUCGUACAACAUCCUAGCACAGACUUGGUAGCUUAAAACAACAGGAAUUUAGCUGAGCACCGUGGCACCGGCCUGUAAUCCUAGCUACUCUGGAGACUGAGGCAGGAGGAUCACAAGUUUCAGGCCAACUUUGGCAAAUUAGUGAGACCUUGACUCAAAGUAAAA
rnacentral:lncRNA from 1 species